rnacentral:lncRNA from 1 species
UGGGCUUGUUGUUUUGGUUUGUUUUAUUUUGGUUUGUGGUUAUGUUUGGACCCUUUGGUUUUGCUUCGGAUUUGCAAUAAAUGAAUAGCCCAGUUUCAAGCAUUUCAAUUCAGUCUCCUUGUUCCUCAAACAAGUAAGCAUUGAACUCUCUUUUAUUAGUUUUCACUUUCUAUAAUCUUUUUCGUAACUGUAAAUUGCCUUUACUAUGUUUCAAUGUUUUGUUUUGCUCUUUCCCCCCUUAAUGUUUGUUUCAAAACUCUAAUUCCUCUUCGUGAUUGGUAAAACAUUCAAGUAAAGAAAUACAAAUCACAACCAAUUGAAUCUCUUUCUAAUACCAAGACAAAGUAAAAUACCAGUAAAAACCUGAAAACUCGGUUCAAUCAGUUGGUUAUACAACGAUCCUUAAAAGGUGACCUGGUAACAAGACGGAUUCAAACCUUGGCAUGGAUGAUCUUUUUCCCUUAUCCCAGUAACAGAUGAAACAAGGGUCGUGAGGAAAGAGCUAGAGAGACGCACAGAGCUCAGAAGUAAACCUUGUUGAUAUUGUUGUUUGCAGGUGUCUCAUAAUGAGAUACGGUAACAGCCAAUCUGGAGCCAUCAGAUAGCUGAAAAACCGAUUGGAUCUUGCUGCAGGUGUGGAACGGAUCACUCUAGUUAGGAUCUACAAGGAUAUAGGAAGAUAAUAUGCUUGUAUAUAAACUGUAGUAAACAAAGUGUAAAUUACCCUUUGCCGUAUGUCAGUUCUCCGAACAAUACUGCACGCUUAUUAUCUUUCAAUGCACCAGUUAAAAUUUCACUUGCACUUGCAGUAUCCAUGUUCACCUAAUGGAAAUUCGGGUAACGGAAACCAUGAUCUGACAUACAGAAAUAGAUUUGACAUUGUAACAGUAAGAAAUGAAGUCCUUUUGUUUAAACCGAGCUUACCAGUACAGCUAGGGGUUCUGAAGCUGCAAUUGCUGAGCUUCCAUCCGUGUCGUAUAUAUCUCGAACUCCAUGAUUAUCACAAAUAUACACAAUCAC